ACAAGUCCCAGAAAGGGAAGUCAGUUCCCCCCAAACCCCUCCAGUAAUAAAAUUUCAGCAUAUCAGAUCUGAUACACUGCUUUCUGCUCUUCUGGAUCGCUUUGAGGAACAUGGAACAAAGCAGCUUUGCAUCUCCGACCGACCGUUUCUCUCUCCCACAUCCAAACCUGCUAAAAGAACAGCCAGAUCUUGCAAGUGGGUAACAGAUGGCUAUUAAACCAGUUCCCUUUUACAAGGCAAUAGCACAUGCAAAAUAUCUGGAUUUGUAUAAUAAAAGCUUUGACUCUUAA